UACGUAGGGGGCAAGCGUUGUCCGGAAUCAUUGGGCGUAAAGAGCGUGUAGGCGGCCCGGUAGGUCGGUUGUGAAAGUCAGGGGCUUAACCCUUGAAUGCCGACCGAUACUGUCGGGCUAGAGUCCGGAAGAGGCGAGUGGAAUUCCUGGUGUAGCGGUGAAAUGCGCAGAUAUCGGAAGGAACAUCAGUGGCGAAAGCGACUUCCUGGACCAGUACCGACGUUCAGGCACGAAAGCGUGGGGAGCAAACAGG
rnacentral:rRNA from 1 species